GGUGGUAUAGCUCAGUGGCAGAGCACAUGUUUAGCAUGAACAAGGUCCUGGGUUCAAUCCCCAGUACCUCCA
rnacentral:tRNA from 1 species